GACGAACGCUGGCGGCGUGCCUAAUACAUGCAAGUUGAGCGCUGAAGGUUGGUACUUGUACCGACUGGAUGAGCAGCGAACGGGUGAGUAACGCGUGGGGAAUCUGCCUUUGAGCGGGGGACAACAUUUGGAAACGAAUGCUAAUACCGCAUAAAAACUUUAAACACAAGUUUUAAGUUUGAAAGAUGCAAUUGCAUCACUCAAAGAUGAUCCCGCGUUGUAUUAGCUAGUUGGUGAGGUAAAGGCUCACCAAGGCGAUGAUACAUAGCCGACCUGAGAGGGUGAUCGGCCACAUUGGGACUGAGACACGGCCCAAACUCCUACGGGAGGCAGCAGUAGGGAAUCUUCGGCAAUGGACGAAAGUCUGACCGAGCAACGCCGCGUGAGUGAAGAAGGUUUUCGGAUCGUAAAACUCUGUUGGUAGAGAAGAACGUUGGUGAGAGUGGAAAGCUCAUCAAGUGACGGUAACUACCCAGAAAGGGACGGCUAACUACGUGCCAGCAGCCGCGGUAAUACGUAGGUCCCGAGCGUUGUCCGGAUUUAUUGGGCGUAAAGCGAGCGCAGGUGGUUUAAUAAGUCUGAUGUAAAAGGCAGUGGCUCAACCAUUGUGUGCAUUGGAAACUGUUAGACUUGAGUGCAGUAGAGGAGAGUGGAAUUC
rnacentral:rRNA from 1 species